rnacentral:rRNA from 1 species
AUUCCAGCUCCAAUAGCGUAUAUUAAAGUUGUUGCAGUUAAAAAGCUCGUAGUUGGAUUUCUGGUUAGAUGCGCCUGGCCCGCCGACGUUCAGUCGUGUGAAGUGCUGGUGCGCAACUGCCAUCCUUCUAGAGAAGGGACCAACGGUUCAUUCCGGUUCGGUUCACAAUCUAGAUCUUUUACUUUGAAAAAAUUAGAGUGUUUAAAGCAGGCUUUUGCUAUGAAUACAUUAGCAUGGAAUAAUAAUUUAGGACUCUGUUUCUAUUUUGUUGGUUUCCGGAAACGGAGUAAUGAUUGAUAGGGAUUGUUGGGGGUGCUAGUAUUCAGCGGCCAGAGGUGAAAUUCUCGGAUUCGCUGAAGACUAACUUAUGCGAAGCAUUCACCAAGGAAGUCUUCAUUG